rnacentral:RNase_P_RNA from 1 species
GCCUGCGGAACAGCUGCAUUCCUACUAGUACAACCUGCUUGCAUACGAUCUUAAUGGUCCCUAAGCAGGUGGGAAAUUCGGUGGAACACAGCGAGACAACAAUCGCCAGGGGCUUCGGCCCUGAUUCUCGUGAGAGAAGCCGCUGGAAAGCGGUUGUGGGCGCUGUCAUCAGAAAUACACAUGUUGGCCGGCGCUAUCGCCGCACCAAUGUGAUGGGAAAGGCAGCGGAUGUCUCGUUUGACUUUGCCUUAGGGUAAAGGUCUGUUGAGUGCAAUGGUAGGAGGCCGCUUUAUGGUGGCCAACCCGAUACCGAUUAUUGUUGGUGUUCCGUUU